rnacentral:rRNA from 1 species
CACGUAGGGCGCAAGCGUUGUCCGGAAUUAUUGGGCGUAAAGAGCGUGUAGGCGGCCAGGUAGGUCUGCUGUGAAAACUCGAGGCUCAACCUCGAGACGUCGGCGGAAACCAUCUGGCUAGAGUCCGGAAGAGGAGAGUGGAAUUCCUGGUGUAGCGGUGAAAUGCGCAGAUAUCAGGAGGAACACCGGUGGCGAAGGCGCCACUCUGGGCCGAAACUGACGCUGAGGAGCGAAAGCGUGGGUAGCAAACAGG